rnacentral:rRNA from 1 species
AGAGUUUGAUCAUGGCUCAGGACGAACGCUGGCGGCGUGCCUAACACAUGCAAGUCGAACGGGAUUUUAUUCAGCACUGAGUGUUUGCCGAAAGGGGAGCACUGAGUGCUGGAUAGAAUUUAGUGGCGGACGGGUGAGUAACGCGUGAGCAACCUGCCUUUCAGAGGGGGAUACCGCCGGGAAACCGGCGCUAAUACCGCAUAACAUGAGUAAGCCGCAUGGCUUAGUCAUCAAAGGAGCAAUCCGCUGAAAGAUGGGCUCGCGUCCGAUUAGCCAGUUAGCGGGGUAAAGGCCCACCAAAGCGACGAUCGGUAGCCGGACUGAGAGGUUGAACGGCCACAUUGGGACUGAGACACGGCCCAGACUCCUACGGGAGGCAGCAGUGGGGGAUAUUGCACAAUGGAGGAAACUCUGAUGCAGCAACGCCGCGUGAGGGAAGAAGGUUUUCGGAUUGUAAACCUCUGUCUUCAGGGACGAUAAUGACGGUACCUGAGGAGGAAGCCACGGCUAACUACGUGCCAGCAGCCGCGGUAAUACGUAGGUGGCAAGCGUUGUCCGGAAUUACUGGGUGUAAAGGGUGCGUAGGCGGCUAUGCAAGUCAGGUGUGAAAGCC